UUAUAUGUAGGUAUUUAUAUAAAUAUACUAAAAUUGGAACAAUACAGAGAAGAUUAGCAUGGCUCCUGUGCAAGGUUGAUAUGCAAAUUUGUGAAAUGACCCAUGUUUUU
rfam:Ictidomys tridecemlineatus contig052001, whole genome shotgun sequence.